GGGGCGAUUCGGCCCAAGAGGAGGAAAGGCAGCCGUUUUUGUGUGCACGCGCUGCCCAAUCAGCAACUGAAUUUGCAACCCUAGCACAAAACCUAAUUUGCAAAAGAGGGACAGAGCGACAAAGGAGAGAGGCUUCGUGGAAAAAGGGGCGGAUCUCCCAUGGAGGCUCUUGCCGGCCGUUGAGGGCGUCAACCAAGACAAGGCAGUCCAAUUCAAUCUCCAGAGAGGGAGUCUCGGAAGGGAGCUGAAGCACGUACUGGAGAGCACAAAGAAGGGCCUGAGUUUCAGUUUGCAGAGCGGAGGCUGCGUGCACAGAUAUGGUGAAUCCAUCCUUCAAAAGCCCCGAAUGAUCACGACAGAUGACUGCAAUAGAUCCGGUAAGGUUACCAGGGAUGAAAGCCCCAUCGAUAUUGAUGCGGAGGGUCCCCGGAGGAGGAGAUCGCUAGAAACGAGCUAAAGAUUCGGUCUGAUGACUAUGUUGCAACAGAGAGGGAUUGGAGAUCUGAGCAAAAUGAAGCUGGGCUAUGGCGGCAAGGACAACAGAGGAUGGAUCCAGGCGUCGAUUGGAGAAGAUGGCGCUAUUUCUGGCUUUCCAGAGGUACCGUCAAACGGCGACAAUAAGCUCCAGGGCAGAUGUCUAGGGGCAGAGCAAAAAGAGGUGCUCAAUCGUCUCCGGCUGAUGGGUAUGACAAAGCGGGCAAAGAGGAUCUGGGCUUAUACGACGACGAUAUAGGUUAUCCUUUGUGGGCAAGGCGUUAUGGCAGAUGUUCCAGCAGAAAAUCUUGAGCUUCGGUGGGAGAUGAAGCUUCCAGAUACGCUUCCAAAGUUGAGGAGGCACCUGAUACGACGAUGAGGCGGAUAAGUUCGCAGAUCCUCUUAUUAGCAUUUGAGAAGGUCUGGCGGCUCCAUGAGGAAAGUGCAAGACUGACCCUUUUUAAGAGGUAUGGCAAAUCGCGGUGAGCAGUGGUCGGCUGGUGCAAAACAUUUGAGAUAACUUUGCUGCAGUCAGGGUGAUCAAGCCAAAAUGCUUCAAAAAUGAAGGGGCGAGCUCGCCGGGGGGAAGCUACUGUAUUCAGAAAAAGCAGGCUGUGGUCAGAACCCACCGCUGGAAGUGCACUAACAACAGCAUCCGGAAAAGCUAGCCUCCACUCAAAGUUGCAUAGAGAUCUAUCCAGACGUUCCUUAAUACUAUCUUCGCCCUGACGGUUAUUUAUCCAGGUAAAUGCACGGCCUUUGCUCUCCAUAUCAAUCAAGGAGCAGUCAUGUAAUACCUCGCGAAAAGAGGACAUACGAUGAAAAUCAGCUAACUUUUUCCCUACUUUCUCCCAGUGGUAAAUUACUUCGUUGAAAUCUCCUAUACAGAGCCACGGUAAAGAGUUAGUUGCUGCAAUCCGCCGAAGAACCUCCUAGAAUUGCUGCCGAAGCCUAAACACUGCUAGCGCAUGAAUACAGGUGAUACGAGUAGGACCAUUCUUUGUCUCCAUUAUGAACAGGAGAUCUGGGCAUUCUCGAGCCACAAGGGCCCGAAGGGCUUGAACUGUCAGGGUAGACCCAAGACCCUGACAGUUCCAACUCAGCAUUUUCAUUUUGCUACCGGUGGCUUUUGAGGGCAAGCCACCUCAGCCCUUGUACUGAGCUUGUCAGCAAUAAGAAUGGGAGAGUCACACUACUGUGUUGGGCCAGCUACCAUUGCCCGAUUGCAGUCUUCUUCAAUUCCAAGCACGGGUGUGUCCAUCAGGGACGUGGGAUGGUGGAGCUACCGGGAGGUGGAUCAUGGCCUUGGUGGUGCAACUGGUCGGGGGCAAAGGAGGAGCAUUCGGCAGCUGCGACGGAGGUGUCUCAGGAGGUGGUGCAACGUCCCAUUCGUCGAUGUUCCGCUCAGUUGUAAGCCUACCCAGGUGAUCUG